UAUAGCCUUUCAGUACUCUUAUUUUUAGGUCUUUAAAAGGACAUUAUGUACCGUUUAUUAAGAGAUAAAGUAAUGUAUAAUUAUAAAACUCAACCCUAAAAUUUGUAAAGAUGAUUCGUAUUCAACAAAUUUUUCUUCGUCUCGUGACAAAUAAACAUGUUUUUUAUUAUAACAUUGUUGUUAUUCCUAUUUUCAACAAGACACGAACAAAGUAAUGUAUGAGAAGAAUUAGAGAAAGAAAGUUCAGAAUUAGUAGAUACACAGCAACAACUGAUUACAACUCAAUCUGAAAAUAAAAUGAAAUUAUUGAGUCCAAAAAAAAUAGGAUCCUUAUUAGAUGACAGUGAUAAAGAUGAUGAUGCUUUAUUUCUGAGUUUAAAUUUUAUUUUUGAAAAGAAUAAAAAUUAUUUUCAGUUAAGAUAAAACAAUAAAAAAAUAUAAACAGUACAUAUAA